AGGAACCCGUUGACCUAAUGUCUACAGUGAUUGCAACGGCGUUGUUUACUGGACAAACUAGUAGGCUUGGCAAGAUGUUUCCUACAGAAAAACUCUCGCUGUGUCCUAUAAACAUUGGAUUUUAGUGAUUAUCACGAUGUCGAAGAAGGACCUUUUGUUAUGGGCCCGUUGGGAAACUAACUUUCCUACCAUUCAGGGAUGCAUGACAACUGGAGUCUCUUCUUGAGGAUGAACAAUCAAGAAGACCAAGCAGCCAACUGGAAUACAUUGGAUAAUGGAGCACAGCAAUCAGCAAGAUUCCAAUAGCUGUGGUGUCUUGAUCUUAAUGUUUGCAAAGGAGUUCCUAAAGACGAAGACCAUCAAUGCAGUGAUGGAUG